CUCCAUCCCCCUACCCCCAAUAAAUAAAGUCUCAGCUCCAUCUCAGGGUGCUGGUGCAGGGCAGGGAUCCCUCACUGAGGAGAACCCAGGGCUGCUACCUCCUUCAUAUUUCUCCCCACAUUGGACCUGGUCACAGGUCAGUGAGCAACAGGGCUUCUGUGGUCCUAGUACUCUGAGGGGGCUGGGGAGUUCAGGGUGGAGAGCUGGGGCCUGGUGGUGGCCUCCCCGUAGCCAGUCAUAGUCCGAGGCUGCCCAGGGCAGGCUCAGAGUGGGGCCUGCGUUGGGGACACUGUGCGCAUCCCAGGUCGGGGCCCAGCCUGGGCCACAGCUAGAUGUGCAGCUCCGUGUCAUCAGGUGGCUCCAGGCCAGACUCUGCGCUGAGUGCUGAGGCUGAGGGACCCUGGGCCACCCCAAAUGGUGAGACAACGGGUGAGCGAGCAGCCAGAGGAGACAGAGAGGGUGAGAAGCUGGGGGACAUGGCAGCUGAGGACAGGGAGCCUUCAUGGCUGAUGGGGGAGCGGUGAGAAGCUGGUGGGAAGAUGGCCCGGGCUGCAGCUGUGUUUGCUGGCUUGGGGGGCACAGACUUGGCUCCUGGGUGGGCCACGCUUCAUCCUUGAGCCGAGCGAUCUCUGUGAAGACACUGGCCAGUGGUUGGAACUGAGGGCACCAGCUCAGCAGGUAGUCCCAGUUAUAGCUGCCACGGAGCUCCUCCUCGCCGGCCACAAUGGCUGUCAGCGCACCUGCCACACAUGGCUUGCCAUCUGCUGGGAAGCCAUAGUCCCCAGUGGGUGCAGGGCUCAGGCCACAGCCCCCCAGGAAG
ensembl:lncRNA DCHS1-AS1 DCHS1 antisense RNA 1